UAGAACUGCCAUUCACAUUACAAUAUUUUACACAAACACAGACUCAUUUUCUCUGCUGAACUACAAUCAGAUUUUAGCAUUCAAUCUUUCUUCUUCUCAAAUAAUACCAAUGACAUUUUCAUUCUAUAAUUCACUUCACAAUAUUCAAAAACUCUCAAUCCUCUUAUUCAAAGAAAAUAACAAAUAAAAGAAAAGAGGUAGCACCAAGCUUACCCCGGCUCAUACUAUCACAGUGAUGGCAUUUUCUUCCCCUCUUCCAUCCUCCUUAUACUACCCCGAGAUACCAACUCCUAUACUACAGAUGAUAACUACUUUUCUUGACUAUUCAUCCAUCCUACAUACUGAACCACCUUUUCAGCAGUU
rnacentral:lncRNA from 1 species